rnacentral:rRNA from 1 species
UACGAAGGUCCCAAGCGUUGUUCGGAAUCACUGGGCGUAAAGGGAGCGUAGGCGGCGUGGUAAGUCAGAUGUGAAAUCCCGGGGCUCAACCCCGGGACUGCAUUCGAUACUGCCGUGCUUGAGGACUGGAGAGGAGACUGGAAUUUACGGUGUAGCAGUGAAAUGCGUAGAGAUCGUAAGGAAGACCAGUGGCGAAGGCGGGUCUCUGGACAGUUCCUGACACUGAGGCACGAAGGCCAGGGGAGCAAACGGG